CAACCUUUUUCUCCCACUUGAACUCCGCCGCCACCAGCCUCACCGUCGCCACCCGCAAGCGCCGCUGCUCUGGCGGCAUCCCUCCUCCCUCGCGUCUCUCUCCCUCUCUUCUUUCCCUUCUCUCUCUCAGCCUCACGCCGUCGCGCAGCCAUCCCCCCCUCCGGCUUUCCAGAUUCGCCGCCGCCGUGCAUGCACAGGCGGCGGCUUCGUCGUCCUUCUCCCGGAAGUCCGCCGUCUGCACGCUCCGUCUCUCUCUCUCUCUCUCUUGGUUCGCCGCACCGCCGCCGCCGCUGCGGAUCCGCCAUCAUCGCGGGUCCGCCCUAGCCGUUGUCGUCGAGGAUCUCCCCACCCAGCCGCCGACGCCGUCUCUCGAUAGGAAUGAAAAAGGACAGAUGUGUUUUUGGAGCGUGGGCUGCCAUCGUCGGCGAGGGAGUGCCGAGCUCGCUGCCGGAAGUUCUUCGGCAGAUUUACAGAUUGGUUCAAGAAAAGUUCCUAUAUUUAAUUGAGAGAAUCUGCAUUUUUUGUAUGUUCUUGGGAUGCUAUAGCAACUAUGUCCUUGAGGCUCUAAAAUUGUCCACAUGAAGUACAUAUUGAUGCUAAAUUGGUGUUCUUUAAAUUCUGGAUACUAGGUUUGUAUUUUGACAUAGACAUGUUUUUCCUAUGUGAAAUAUGCUGUAAUAUGUGGAAAGAAGGUGGGGUGUUGAUGAUACUCACCUAAAGUGACUCGUUGUUAUUUUGUUGGUUCUCUUUUUGGACCUUCCUUUAUGCUUGGUGGAAGGAUCUCUGCUACCUUUCCUUUCUCUCUUGUUUUUUUUGUUGAUGUGAAUAAACUUUGGUCGAAUGGUGGGGCAGGUGAAAAGGAUAGUAUUUAGGGGUGAAGAUAGCAAGUGGUCUGACAGAAUUUUAUCACAAAUAUUCUCAUCUGUCGGAGAAUAUUGUAUGAUACAAAUUUUAUCUGCAGCAUUAAAUGAGCUGUCUGUAAAUUGAUCCUCUAGGAUCUGCUUCCAUUAUUUAAUAUAUUUAUUUAUUUAUUAUUUAUUUAUUUAUUUAAUUAUUUAAGUAAUUGUUUAUUGAUUCAUUCACUUGUUUAUUAAAUUUUGGUGCAGGUAUAAUAGUUUCAAGUUCGUGGCCAUUCGCGUUGAAGUACCCGUUUUCUUAAAAUAUAUGAUGUAUAAAUUAAAUUUUCCUUGGACUUUUGUUGGAUGUAUCGGACAUUUAACAUUUUGAUUGUGGGACCUUAAUUAUUAAAUUUAUUAUAUUCAUAUA